rnacentral:lncRNA from 1 species
UCAGUUUGGUUUCACUAUAUAUAUUGGGUUUUUUUUUUUUUAAUGAGAUAGAGUGGGUAAAGUAAAAGUACAAUGCCUCACUUUAGGAAUCAGUAUCAUCAAGUACUUGAUGCUUUGAAGAUAGUAGACAGUACUAAUUUUUAAUCAAUAUCCUGAUUUAUGAUCUUAUAAAACAGGGAGAGGCAGUUCAAGACUGGCGUGAAAUAGUGACCUUCUUCUCAUACCCGAUUCGCACCAGAGACUAUUCAAGGUGGCCUGACAAGCCAGAGGCAUGGAAAGCAGUGACCGAGGAAUACAGUAAGAAGCUAAUGGAACUUGCUUGCAAGCUUCUUGGCGUCUUGUCAGAGGCCAUGGGAUUAGAAACAGAGGCCUUAACUAAGGCUUGUGUUGACAUGGACCAAAAGGUGGUGGUCAAUUUCUAUCCAAAAUGUCCACAGCCAGACCUUACACUUGGACUCAAACGCCAUACCGAUCCCGGCACCAUCACCCUCUUGCUCCAGGACACCGUUGGAGGUCUUCAGGCCACUAGAGAUAACGGAAAGACUUGGAUCACCGUUCAACCUGUUGAAGGUGCUUUUGUGGUCAAUCUCGGAGACCACGGUCAUGUGAGUAUGAAACUAAAAUAUUUCCUGUUAAAUACCAGCACUACUCACCGUGAUUAAUUGUACUAAAACUAAAUGGUAUGUUUGCGAGGCAGUAUCUGAGCAAUGGAAGAUUCAGGAACGCAGACCAUCAAGCUGUGGUGAACUCAAACUCCAGCAGGUUGUCCAUAGCCACAUUCCAGAACCCAGCACCAGAUGCUACAGUGUACCCUCUCAAGAUCAGAGAGGGAGAGAAGUCGGUGCUAGAUGAGCCAAUAACAUUUGCUGAGAUGUACAGGAGGAAGAUGAGCAAGGACAUUGAGAUAGCCAAUAAAAAGAAGUUGGCUAAGGAGCAGCUGCUGAAAGAUUUGGAGAAAGCCAAGUUAGAAACUAAGCCCAUUGACGAGAUCCUUGCUUGAAAAUGUCAUUUGCUGUCAAGAAUUUAUGUGCUGGCCGUCUUUUACUCUGUCUGAUCAUGUUUUUCAUUGUGUCUGUUUAGUUUGAUGGUGAAAAUGUGUUGAGUCUGUGGGUUAUCUAAGAGUAAACCUCGCUUCUUAUAGAAAAAAAAGAAGAAAUUUCUCCACCACCAUGGAAGUCUUCAAUUUGUUGUCCAGGGACAGGGUUCUUUUGUUCUAAAAUAUCAUUCAGAGCUUUUAGCUGUAUCAUGGAAUGGAAUUAUGAAAAUAGUCCUUUAACAUUCUUCAUUCAAUAAAAUGAGAGCUGUAUCAUUGUAUGUCUGAAAACUAAAUCCUUUCUUCUCUCCAAGCAUUGAAAUAUAAGGAUCCAGCCUCUGGGCUUGAGGCCCAAUAGUCUAGCUGCACCUCCGAGAGACAGCAUUUCCUCGCCAGGAGACCAAGCUGUAAUUUGAGGAGUACAUCCCACUGGAUCACGGAAAUCAAGCUUAAAAAGGAGGUGCCACAUGCAAUUAUCUGGUGUCAAGUUGAAUGGGAUGAUGUUAGUCAAUAUUACAUCUAAUUUCCACUAAUUAAAGGACCAAAAUGCAAGUUUAUUAAAUAAAACGCAUCACUUUAGAAACUUGUCCUCUUAGAAAUUAGUUCAUUGAUCGUCAUCAACAAUACACAGCUCACCCAGCCCAAGAAUUAAAAGGAUGAUUUUUGCAUUGUUUAUUGUCAAUUUAGACCAUUCUUUCUAAGUAAUGCAAAUUAUAGGUGGCGAGUAUAAACAAAUCUACCUACAUGAUUCAAAGUUGUGUGAGUAACUUUCAACUCUAAAAUAAAGGAUUUCAUCUUCUUCCUUUAGUUUAUCUCUGCAACAAGAAAAUACACACACAAUCCCAUAAAUAAUAAUAAAAAAAACUUAUUUUGUGGUGUUCGACUUGUUCAAACCUAGAAUUACGAGUCCUUUGACCUCUCCUUACUGUGCAAUCAGCAAGUUUAUUAUUGGGUUUGAUGGUGGCUAUGAGAGUAUAUGUUUAAUUUCUCUUUUACAAGUGAUCCAAUAUUGAAAGAGUUUUUAUGGAAAUAUAUUUGUCUUUAUUAAAGAAAUAGGGUUAGUGAGGCCAGGAAAAAGGAAAGAUGAUAUACUUCAUUUUCUCAUUAAUUUCCAUUUUUCUUCAAUAUCUCUCUUUUUUUUAAUUUUUAUCGUCUCUCUAAAAUAAUAUUUAUAAUGCAUUUUCCAAUUCUUAAACGUACAUAUGCAUUCAUUCAUUUUCCUAUCCGUGUGUGGGUGUAAGAAAUUCACUUUCUCAUCCACAUUCUCGCCUCCAAACUAAAAGCAAUUACAAACAAGAUAGCAAAACAACUCCAUCACGUCCCUUUUCACUUAAAUGGAUUCCAUAGAAGACAUUUGCUACUGCAAAUAGAAUCAAAAUAUUCCCCACACAUUGUAGCGGUAUCAAUUCCUAAACUUUCCUACCUUUGACGACUUGUCUUGUCGAGUAAAAAAUAUCAUCUUUUAUAUAUAAAAAAAAUCAUAAGGGAUAGAUUAAUUGAUCAGGUUUUAAGUUUACUAUCUAAUAAUCACGAGUUUAAGUCCUCUCAGGGCUAUUAGAGACUUAUAUAAUCGUUAACUUUAAAAUCCAUAAAAUUAAUCGAGAUACGUAUAAGAUAAUUUAAACACACCCACGUUAAUAGAAAAAAAAAAUACAAGUCACAAUCUUAGAGAGAGAGAGAGAGAGAGAGAAUAUUCAGUUAACCCUUUUUCCUUUUCUAACAAAUAAAAGGUAUAAAUUUGGAAUUUAACAACUCGUAUCAAUUGAAUUGCAUAAUCGAGUAAUUAUGUAACGAGAUUUUCCUGACAUGAAGGCAUCCAAGAACAAGGAAGACCCCAAAACCCUUGUGGGUAGACACAUCAGCACCAAGACGAUGUUGAAGGACGAGUCCGCAGAUGAAAACAGCUAUACCUAGUAAAAAUCCCAAUGAUCGAAUACAAGUAUGGACAUAGAACCACAUAGGAUCUCAUUUCCUGAAUUAGCAAGCAAUUAUUGCUCCGUUUAUAAUCAAAAUACCCCAGCCAGCCAUGUUCAAUGCUCCAUGGCUCUUCCUUAAUCUUGACUGUGGGAGUGAGGUUUUCUAUUUUACCGAAAAAGUUUAUUAUGUAAGUCUAUAUAUAUGGUCUUAAAAAGAAACGGAAUAAAAUCCAAAUAUAUAAAUAAAAAUUAUACCUUCAUUAUUGUAUUUUUAUUUUGUUUAAGAUUCGUAACUAGGUUUGUAAUUAGCAACGCUUGAUUUGUUUGUUUUUUCUUUCUUUUUUUCACAGGUUUCUUUGCAUGAAUCAUUCGUGGCAGAGCAUUCAGCUGGAAAAAAAAAGUGCACUUCGACUCUUUUUAGGGUUGUGUUUGCACUAGAAUUUUAAUAAUAUUUGAAUGUUUUAUUUAAAAUUAUUUUUAUUUUUUUUAGUUUGUUUUGAUGGGCAUACAAAAAUUAUUUGUAAAAAAUAAAAAAUUAUAUAUUAUUUAGAUGUAUUUUUUUUUAGUAAGUACUUAAUCUUGAAACAAGAGGGAUAGAGAAAACGAAAAAUUAUUAUAUUUUCAAUAUUGAGAGAUUGUGAAAAUUAAGAGUAUACAAAUAUCCUCUUCAAUGUCUAUCUAGAAGGAAGAGGGAUAAAGAAAACGAAAAAUUAAAAGUUUGGUAACUAGGAACAACCUCACUCCCUCACGAGCCAAGGAGCUAAGGAGAGGUAGUUGGCACAUGCCAACAUCCCCUAUUAUAUAUGCACACGAACCAUAGCUACUCUCUAACCAGGGUAGUUAAAUAACAGCAUUUGCAUCCCCAUUUUUUGCUUUUAUAAGAGCUAGGACAAAAAGACAAGAACUCAAGUCUUCGACCUAAAAUCAAGCCGGCAACGAUGGCCCCUUCUACCCUCACAGCUCUGGCAGAAGAGAAAACCCUCCAAGCAAGCUUUGUUCGCGACGAAGAUGAACGUCCGAAGGUGGCUUAUAACCACUUCAGCAAUGAAAUCCCUGUCAUUUCAAUAGCUGGGAUUGAUGAUGGUGGUGAAAAGAGAGCUGAAAUAUGCAACAAGAUCGUCGAGGCAUGCGAGGACUGGGGAGUUUUUCAAAUUGUUGAUCAUGGCGUUGAUGCUAAGCUGGUGUCUGAAAUGACAACUCUUGCUAAAGAGUUUUUUGCUUUGCCGCCGGAAGAGAAGCUUCGGUUUGAUAUGUCUGGUGGCAAAAAGGGUGGCUUCAUUGUCUCCAGCCAUUUACAGGUAUAACUUCUUUUACGUUUUGUUUUCUGAAUUUAACAAUUACGCAGACCUUUAUUGUUAAAUUUCCUAUCGGACUGAUCUUUUUCCAAAUGAAAAAUACAUGUUUCCAACUCAAAAAUAUACCAUGUGCCCGGCUAGCUAGCAAGCAAAUCAAUCAAACUUCUGUGAAAUAGUUCAACAAUUUUUUUGAGUUUUUUUUAUUAUAUAAUCUUGAUUAGAAACUUAAAGGAAAAAUUAAUUCAGUUUGGUUUCGGAUUCUUAGAAACUGAAAAAAAACAAAACCAUGAAUUAUUAGGCUUGGCACGACAGAAUUGACUGAAGAGCAAUACCUAAUAUAUCCAGUUUUGCUAGUAAAUCAUUUCUUGAUUACGCAAGAUCAAGAAAGCCACUAUUUUGGUUCAGGAAUUUCUCUUCCCCGCAAUAUGAAUGUGUAUUCUGUCCUUACAGACGAAAUUAUACGCUAAGAAGGUCUAUGAAAGUGUAGUAGAGGUUGCUUUUUUAAUAGUUUUUCGUGCCGAAAAGCAUGCUAAUAAUGUUUUUUUAUUUUUAAAAAAUUAUUUUUAAUAUCAACACAUCAAAACGAUUCAAAAAGUACAAACCGCACUUAAUUUUAACAAAAAAUAAAUUUAAAAUUUUUUAAAAAACAAGUUCAACAGCAAUAUCAAACGAACACUAAGAUUACAAGGUCAACAAGGGAAUAGUUGUAAUUUAACUGACUACUAUCAGCACACAUGGUGGAGCUAAGACUUUUAUUCUUGUAUGGUCUAAACUAAUCAUGACUUCUUGACAUACACGCACAUCACUAUAUAUAUAUAUAUAUUGGUUUUUUUUCUUCUUAAUGAGAUAGAGUGAGUGAAUUAAAAGUACAAUGCCUCACUGUAGGAAUCAACAAGGACUGAAAAGGAAAAAAAUUAGCUAUGAACAGUGACUUGAACAUGAAAAAUGAGAAAAGGGUCGUCGUCGGCCACUGCUUCAUAACAACAGUAAUAGGCCAAUCUAUUUUAGUUCUUUGUAAUAUCAUCAAGUACUUGAUGCUUUGAAGAUAGUAGACAGUACUAAUUUUAAAUCGAUUUCCUGAUUUAUGAUCUUAUAAAACAGGGAGAGGCAGUUCAAGACUGGCGUGAAAUAGUGACCUUCUUCUCAUACCCGAUUCGCACCAGAGACUAUUCAAGGUGGCCUGACAAGCCAGAGGCAUGGAAAGCAGUGACCGAGGAAUACAGUAAGAAGCUAAUGGAACUUGCUUGCAAGCUUCUUGGGGUCUUGUCAGAGGCCAUGGGAUUAGAAACAGAGGCCUUGACUAAGGCUUGUGUUGACAUGGACCAAAAGGUGGUGGUCAAUUUCUAUCCAAAAUGUCCACAACCAGAC